GGGUGCUCUUGAGGCUUGGGGGGUGGUGGUUUCGUUUUUAUUUGUUUGUUUCCUGAGAUUAAUGUUGGGCUUUGUUUGGUUCUACAGGGUUAUCGUUUUUUAUAUUUAAGUCGAAAAAAGGGUAAAGGAAAUAAUGGCACCAGCUACUAACUGGCUUUCCUUUUCACUCUCUCCAAUGGAAAUUUUGAGGUCAUCUGAAUCUCAGUUCAUAUACGAGGGCUCCUCCACUGCCUCUCCACACUACUUGAUGGAUAACUUCUAUGCUAACGGUUGGGGAAGUUCCAAGGAAGCCCAAGGAGUAACAACAAUGGCGGAGGCUUCCAUUCUCACAAGCUUUAUAGACCCAGAAGCCCACCACCCACAAGCACCAAAACUCGAGGACUUUCUCGGGGAUUCAUCAUCAAUUGUUCGAUACUCGGACAAUAGCCAAACAGAGACCCAGGACUCAUCUCUGACACACAUCUAUGACCACGGCUCUGCUGCUUACUUCAACGACCAACAAGAUCUCAAGGCGAUUGCUGGGUUCCAAUCAUUUUCAACGAACUCGGGGUCGGAGGUUGAUGACUCGGCGUCAAUGGCCCGGACUCAGAUUGGUGGCGGUGAGUUUGUGGGUCACUCGAUUGAAUCUAGUGGAAACGAGCUGGGGUUCUCUAAUUGCACUGGCGGAAAUAAUGCGCUGUCACUUGGGAUUAGCAAUCAGAGUUCCGCAGAGAAGGCUAUUGUUCCAGCUGAAUCUGACUGCCCUAAAAAGAUUGCUGAAACUUUUGGCCAGCGAACUUCAAUUUACAGAGGAGUCACUCGACACAGAUGGACAGGUAGAUAUGAAGCGCAUCUGUGGGAUAACAGCUGUAGGAGAGAGGGUCAGGCUAGAAAGGGGCGUCAAGUAUACUUAGGUGGAUAUGAUAGGGAAGAAAAGGCAGCUAGAGCUUAUGAUUUGGCAGCACUGAAAUAUUGGGGUCACACUGCAACCACCAACUUCCCUGUUGCAAAUUAUACCAAAGAAUUGGAGGAGAUGAAAUAUGUUUCCAAACAAGAAUUCAUUGCCUCGCUGAGGAGGAAGAGUAGUGGGUUUUCAAGGGGAGCCUCUGUAUACAGAGGAGUAACAAGGCAUCAUCAACAGGGUCGUUGGCAAGCAAGAAUAGGUCGUGUUGCUGGAAACAAAGACCUAUACCUUGGCACGUUUGCUACAGAAGAGGAAGCAGCUGAGGCAUAUGAUAUAGCAGCCAUAAAGUUUCGAGGUAUGAAUGCAGUGACCAAUUUCGAGAUGAGCCGAUAUGAUGUGGCAGCAAUCAUGAAGAGUGCUCUUCCUAUUGGUGGGGCAGCAAAGCGGUUAAAGCUCUCACUUGAAGUAGAGCAGAAACCAACACUGAACCAUGAACAGCAACCUCGGGGUAGCAGCAAUAAUAUCAAUUUUGCUUCUAUGCCUCCAGAUUCUGCUAUCCCUUGCGGUAUUCCUUUUGAAAACACAACAGCACUCUAUCAUCACAACCUCAUCCACCACAUUCAAUCUGCCAACAACUUCGGUGGAACUGAUUCUUCUGGCUCCACUUCAUCCAUGGCGACUCCAAUGACUUUACUGCCGCAAACAACUGACUUUUUUAUGUGGCCUCAUCAAUCUUAUUGACAAAAGAAGUUUUGACUGUAGAAAUGCAGCUAACAUGUGGCAACAGGCCCAGUCGAUGGAUCUUCCAAGCUGACAAAAAUUGCUGACUUUUUUACCUUAAUGUACCCUCUUAAUUAACCUUGGCAGGAGCAGGCAAGAAAGACAGGUAUCUCACAGUGAAGAUUCCUACUGAAUGAGGGAUAGUAGUUGUCCGAGGGCAUCAAAACGCUGCUCUUGCAGCAUAUUUAGCCACAAGAUGCUCGAUAGACAUUGUCAGUCUAUGACGAUGCCCAAAGAAAUGG